rnacentral:lncRNA from 1 species
CUCGAGCAAGGCAGUUACUUCACCGUGCCUGUUACAGUGCUGACACCAGAGCUGGUGCUCCCAGCCUCGUGCAGUUUGAAGCACUUUUGACAACAACUCCACGUGGGAGCAGGCUGGCUGCUGCGCAGGACGUUUGGAGAUGCUUUAGUUGCCCAGAGGGAUGGCAGAGAAGGGGAACCCUGCGUGAUUUCCCAUCCCAAUUCAGCUACAGACCGGGGAAAUCCCAUUUUUGCUGCUCUAAGAACACCAAUCGAGUCUGGAGAAGCCAAAACCGAAUGGUUCCAGCAGACCCUGAUGAAGAAAACCCUCUUCCAGAGAGGAAAAGGCACACGGAGAGCAGAAGACGAAUUUGUGCAUCCCCUUCACCUGCCGGAUGGCAUCGCCGUGUCCUCAGCUUCUCCAGGAAGCAGCCACACCUUUCCCUCCUGCAUCCCGUGCCGUUGCAGGCAGCACCGAGCUGAUGCCACUGUUUUUUGUUUUUUUUUUGGGGUGAUGCCCUUCCCUGUGGCACCCAUCACCCAACCCAAAUCCACCCCACAGGGCACCCAGUGCCCCACCAGUCCCAGGAGCUGCUCCAUGCCUGCCUGGAGCGCUCAAAACCCCACCGCAAACCUUUCCCGAGCCGCCCAGGCUCAAAACUUCGUCCGAAAUACCUCCGUGUCAUCCUGCAAGUCAUCAAAAAGUUUCUCGGGCAGCGCUGGAGGUGCCUCUUCCUCGGGCUCGGGGUUGUGGGGCUGUGAGCGCUGCGGUGCGCGGGGCGCUUUGCGCACGCGGGCGUACACGGGGCAGGGGCUGCCCUCACCGCACGGCUCCUCCUGGAUGAGCAAACCCUGCUUGGGGUCGUCCCCAAUGUCCCUAGAAUCCCCACAGGGGUUGUCCCCAAUGUCCUCAACGUCCCCAAAAUCCCCCGUGGCACCACAGGGCUUCCUCAGCCUGCCGCUGAGCUUCUUGGCUUUGUAGCGGAUGCUUUCGUAGAUGGGCCCCUCGCCUUCCCCCGCCGGCUCCACCGCGGGCGUUUGGGGCUCCCCGGGGACGAGCGGGAGCUGGCGGUGCCGCAGAAAAUCCGGGGUCCUCGUGGGGGAGCCGGGAGGUGGCCCCCCGAGGCCAUCCGGGUCCCCCCCAGCGGUGCCAUUUGUCCUGCUGCCUGUAGGGAGGGAGAGGUUGAGCAGGGGGGCACCCCACUAAUUUGGGGAUAAAAUAUUAACGAUUAAACGUGACGAAAUGAGAACUCUGGAGGGGUUUCCCCCGCCUGCCAACACCCAUAUUUCCCCCCCCAGCUCUUUGCUUUUUUACAAGAGCUGAAACAGAAAGCAAAGGCAAACCCAGGCGAGCGUCCCGGGGCUGCUAAUGGGGGCUGUGGGGUGCCCGGAGCCGCC